GACGAACGCUGGCGGCGUGCUUAACACAUGCAAGUCGAACGGAAAGGCCCUGCUUUUGUGGGGUGCUCGAGUGGCGAACGGGUGAGUAACACGUGAGUAACCUGCCCUUGACUUUGGGAUAACUUCAGGAAACUGGGGCUAAUACCGGAUAGGAGCUCCUGCUGCAUGGUGGGGGUUGGAAAGUUUCGGCGGUUGGGGAUGGACUCGCGGCUUAUCAGCCUGUUGGUGGGGUAGUGGCUUACCAAGGCAUUGACGGUUAGCCGUCCUAGGAGGGUGACCGGCGACAUCAGGACUGAAUUACGGCCCCUACUCCUACGCGAGGCACCGAUGGUGAUUAUUACACGAUGAGCUGAAGCCCGAUGCAGGACCGCCGCGUGCGGGAUGACGGCCUUCCGGUUGUAAACCGCGUUCGCCUAUGACGAAGCGUGAGUGACGGUAAUGAGUAAAGAAGCACCGGCUAACUACGUG
rnacentral:rRNA from 1 species